rnacentral:lncRNA from 10 species
AAGCAGGUUCCCCCUAGGCAGAGCGCCAAGAAGCAGCCCAGGCGAUCCCAAGGCGCACAAGUGCUCUCACCAGGCUGCGCGCUGGCGGGUCGGUGCACAGGGACGGGGUCGCCGCCCACGCGCGCUUGGUUCAGGGAGCCCAGGCUGUCCCUACCCGCGGCUACAAAAGCUCGCCGAGUCUUCCUGUCCACCCAAUCGCCCCACAUGUCAGCGGUUGGUCGCCUCGCGGUGCAGUGCUGGGCACGCGAGCCCCUCCCGCAGUCAUUCUCAGCACAAGCACCAGCCUGGAGCCCCGCAGCGACAGAGCUGAGAGCCCCCAAGCCGCAGAGGUCGUGCGGAGCAGGUUGCAAAUGUCUUAGAAACACACUCCUGGACCACAGCUUCAAGAGACGCAAGCAGUCACCUCAUCUGCUGGUUUCCAAGCUGCCCUGCCAGAAGCAGGUCAGGGGUCCCACAGGGGUCCUCAGUAACUCCUCAAAAUCCUCUCCCAUCAAUGGCCCCACCAGAUCAUCCCUACUUUUGAAUGCUUGUCCAAUGCAGGUUCCAGGCCUAAGGCAAUAGCUAAUUGAGACUAUGCAUCACUAUUAAGGCAUCUUCACUAAAGGGCGCUGUGGAAACGCUGCCUGAGAUGCAGACACCUGUCAGAAGGGGGCUAAAUUUCAAACAAGGAACGUGGUGUUGCAUCACAAUAAAGUAGAUUCUAGUAUUACCUUCCUUUUUCAGAAGAGGAGACCAAUGGGGAGCAUUGGAAUGAUUUGGUUGCAAGCAUACUACACUACUUGUAAACUGCAGACACAGGCUUAAAAAAAGUGAAAAACUAACCAUGCAAUAAAGAAUGGAAUGAACCAUGAAGCUGUUUCUGUGGCCAGUCAUGUUUUUGAAGCAUAUCCCAUGCUAAUUUCUAGAACAGAAGAAACACACGUGUUCUUGUGUGUAAACCCAGUCCAUGGAAGAGACCGUCUGCUUGUCCCUCCUGAUCUCUGGGCCCAGACAACCAGUAGUCACCAUUCCAAGUGAGGGGUGGCUGCAACUCUACAGCCCCGUUCGUCUCUCCUCACUGUCAAAGCUGCUGAGACCCCAGACUCGACACUUGAAAGAAACCCAUGUCUGUGAAGCACUUGUGGACCAUUCAAGAUUGUGGAAGAAUCACUCAAGAGAAGGAGAUAGCAAUAUUUGCAGAUAUGCAAACUGGCCCCUUGCAUGCACAUCCUGGAGCACGUCCUGGAGCCUUUAGAGGAGACGGCUGCUGCUGUUCCAGUCUCUCCUUAGGCAGACUUGAGUUUCUACCCACUCUUCCCAAGCAGCCGCCCCUCCGCACCCGAGCGAGCCAAAGACCUGGCGGGCUGAGUACUCACUGCGCGCUGGACACAUGCUGAGCCGGCACUGCAGGGACACAGGGCGAGCCGCUGGAUGCAGACCUGUGGCCGCGGCAGUUGGGCUUAUCUUGCCCAUGAAGUUGCCUCUGAAGAACCAAGUCCAACUGUGUAUGCUGAGAGAUGUCUGGCUACUUCCUGAUUGACAGUUCUGGCAAGGUGGCAUUGGGCCCUGGCUUUUCCUCUGGAGGCAUCAUCACUUAUAGGAAAAUGUCCCCUGAAGUCCAAGGAUCAAAGCUGCUGGAACACUGAGAAGCUGAACAAAGGAGAACUGUUUCUCAUCAAACCCAGACUUCCAGACUUCCAAUAGGGUAGAAUGAGCAAGUCAGCAAAUCAUCUUCCUUGGAAACAGUGAUAAAACUAGAUGACAUUGUCAACAACAGCCAUUUCAGAAAUCUAGAAAAUGACCAAAGGCAAACAACAAACUGAGAAGCAUUUUUUUUUCCAUGAAAAAUCGCUCUAUUUCUGCAAAAAUAGUGGGAGUCUAUGGCUUCUCAUCCAGGGCUGUUUCUCUCCCCACCCCAGCUCAGUCAGUACAAAGGUUCUGGCAGCAUGAGGCAGACUGAACAGACCUGAAGUUUGAUUGCUGGAAGAAACUGACUCCAGGUUUGGCAGAGGGUGAGAAACCUACUCCCAGCCAUGUUGUCUGGUGACACAGUGACCUUAGGGACAAGUGAAUAGGGAAGGCCAGUGAUUCAUUAACCUGAGGUUGCAGUCCUGGUUGGGGAAAGCAUCAGAAUGGCAGAUAAGCUAGAAAUUUAGUAGGGAUAUGCUGGAAAUGAGACAACCCCAAAGGGGCUUGACCCCAAAGUUGUCCACACACCCCAGCUGCCUUCUGAGCAGAUGUAGGGAGAGACCAGAGAAGGCCUAGGCUAUCCACACAUCUCUGGCUAACCCAGGCUGUAAACCUGUGGAGGAGACACAAGAGGUGGAUUGAUUGCUAAUGGGCAUAUGGGGGAUCUUACUGGUUGAUAGGAACAUUCUCAAAUUGGAUUGUGGUGAUGCUUGCACAACUCUAAGUUUAUCCCAAAUUGCUAAAUUUUACACUAAAAAGGGGUGAACUUUAGGGUAUAUAAAUUAUACAUCAAUAAAGUUGUCAUAAAGCAUUCACAUUCUAAUAAAUGGCUCUAAGAAAUAUUGUUUUGAAAAUUUUCCUUUGGUAUAUUAUGGCACUCCAAAAUCAACUUCUGUCAGAACAAUAAUUAACUAUUUCUGAUUAUAGAUAUUGGUCAUCUACAAUGAUUUAUUCAGUCUUUUAUGUCCCGCAUAAGGGCUUAGAAUGCUUUAAAUUUCUAAGACCAUCAAUAGCCAGGACUCACCUGAAAACUAUAUAUAUUUUUAAAAAGACGUAUGCUCUGGGACACCAUAUGCUAACAUUUGUUGAGCACACAGUUUGCUACAGAGGUUAAGAGGUGUACUAUUUAAAUCUAACUUCCUCAAGGGGCUCACACUAUUACAAUAGUAAGCUAAAGAGAUAGAAGAAAAGUUUAUAUAUAAAAUCUCAGUACAGGGAUGGGGUUGGUAACAAAUAAGAUGCUGCCACUUACACUUGAUAAAUUAUAAAAUAUCUAUUGCAUUCAUUAUUGGAGGCUGACCCUUAUAAAAACCUUGUGGGUACUGCAAAAGACAGGGAAACCGAGGCUCAGAGUGGUUCAGCAACUUGUGUGAGGUCACAUACCUCAUGUCAAAGCUGAGAUUUAAAUGUGUGUGGCUAGGCUGGACAUGGUGGCUCACACCUGUAAUCCUAGCACCCUGGGAGGCUGAGGUGGAACACACUCCUUGUUUGUGUCCAGGAGUUCAAGACCAGCCUGGACAACAUAAUGAGACCUCAUCUCUACAAAAAAUAAAAAAUUAGCUGGGUGUGGGGCCACGCACCCCAAGGUUCUCAGGAGGCUGAGGCAGGAGGACUGCUUGAAAUCAGGAGGUUGAGCCUGCAGUGAGCUGUGAUCAUGCCACUGCACUCUGCCUGGGUGACAGAGUGAGACCCUGUCUCAAAAAAAUAAAAAUAAAAACAAAUAAAUGUGUGUGGCUGAUUCUCAUGCAAAUAUUGGUGAAGAUCUGGUAGUGAUGUAAAUUGGUAGAACCUCAGUGGGAGAUAACUUUGCAAUAGCUAUCAAAUGAAAACUGUGUAUAUUCUUUGUUUCAGGAAUUUCACUUCUAAGAUGUUUUUAAUAUAGCAGAAAUGGUUAUCCAUAAAGAAUUAGUUCAAUACAUUUUAUCUGUAAAAUGGAAUGCAAUGCGGCCAUUAAAAAGGAGGCAUAUCUGAGUAUACUAAUAUAGAAUGGUCUGCAAGAUAUAUUAACUUUUUUACAAAAGCUGUUCCCCACACUUCUUCGUGUUGUUUGAAAAGACGUGAAGGCUCAGACAGGCCUUCAUUGUGACUUGCCCAGGAUGAGUAGCAGGGCUGGAAUUCCUACUCAGGAGUCCAGAUUUAUAGGCUUCCUCUUUGCUUUAUCCUAUUUCAUAGCUGUCUCUGUUGCCAGAGCCAUGGAAGG